rnacentral:rRNA from 1 species
UACGUAGGGCGCAAGCGUUAUCCGGAAUUAUUGGGCGUAAAGAGCUCGUAGGCGGUUUGUCGCGUCUGCCGUGAAAGUCCGGGGCUUAACCCCGGAUCUGCGGUGGGUACGGGCAGACUUGAGGGAUGUAGGGGAGACUGGAAUUCCUGGUGUAGCGGUGAAAUGCGCAGAUAUCAGGAGGAACACCGAUGGCGAAGGCAGGUCUCUGGGCAUUAACUGACGCUGAGGAGCGAAAGCAUGGGGAGCGAACAGG